AUUGAACGCUGGCGGCAUGCCUUACACAUGCAAGUCGAACGGCAGCGGACCUUCGGGUGCCGGCGAGUGGCGAACGGGUGAGUAAUAUAUCGGAACGUACCUUUCAGUGGGGGAUAACGUAGCGAAAGUUACGCUAAUACCGCAUAUUCUGUGAGCAGGAAAGCAGGGGAUCGCAAGACCUUGCGCUGAUUGAGCGGCCGAUAUCAGAUUAGCUAGUUGGUGAGGUAAAGGCUCACCAAGGCGACGAUCUGUAGCGGGUCUGAGAGGAUGAUCCGCCACACUGGAACUGAGACACGGUCCAGACUCCUACGGGAGGCAGCAGUGGGGAAUUUUGGACAAUGGGCGCAAGCCUGAUCCAGCCAUGCCGCGUGAGUGAAGAAGGCCUCGGUUGUAAGACUCUUUCGGUCCGGGACGGAAAGUACGACACAGGUUAAU
rnacentral:rRNA from 1 species